UCAUCAUCAUCAUCAUGAUGAUGAUGAUGAUGAUGAUCAUCAUCAUCAUCAUCGUCAUCAUCAUCAUCGUCAUCAUCAUCAUCAUCAUCAUCAUCA
rnacentral:pre_miRNA from 1 species